UCGAGCGGCGAACGGGUGAGUAACGCGUGGAUUAUCUGCCCUGAGGUGGGGGAUAACCCGGGGAAACUCGGGCUAAUACCGCAUAACAUCGUGAGAUCAAAGGGGGCGCAAGCUCCCGCCGCAGGAGGAGUCCGCGUACGAUUAGCUAGUUGGUAGGGUAAUGGCCUACCAAGGCGACGAUCGUUAGCCGGCCUGAGAGGGUGAUCGGCCACACUGGAACUGAGACACGGUCCAG
rnacentral:rRNA from 1 species